UCCUUGGUGGUUCAGCGGUAAAGAACCUGCCUGCAAUGCAGGAGACACGGGUUCCAUCCCUGUCUGGAA
rnacentral:tRNA from 1 species